AGAACGAACGCUGGCGGCAUGCCUAAUACAUGCAAGUCGAACGAGAUCUUCGGAUCUAGUGGCGCACGGGUGCGUAACGCGUGGGAAUCUACCCUUGGGUUCGGAAUAACAGUUGGAAACGACUGCUAAUACCGGAUGAUGACGAAAGUCCAAAGAUUUAUCGCCCAAGGAUGAGCCCGCGUAGGAUUAGCUAGUUGGUGAGGUAAAGGCUCACCAAGGCUACGAUCCUUAGCUGGUCUGAGAGGAUGAUCACGCCACACUGGGACUGAGCACGGCCAGACUCUACGGGAGGCAGCAGUAGGGAAUA
rnacentral:rRNA from 1 species